ACAUGAAUCACCUGGGGAUCCUGUUAAAAUGAAGAUUCUGAUUUAGUUGGUCUGGGAAGGGGUCACAAAAUCCUGCAAUUUUAACAAGCUCCCAGGUAAUGUCAAU
rnacentral:pre_miRNA from 1 species